rnacentral:rRNA from 1 species
CCCCUAGAUGUUCUGGGCCGCACGCGCGCUACACUGAACAGUUCAACAAGUCUUAACCUUGGCCGAUAGGUCUGGGUAAUCUUUGAACGCUGUUCGUGAUUGGGAUAGACCUUUGCAAUUAUGGGUCUUCAACGAGGAAUUCCUAGUAAACGCAAGUCAUCAGCUUGCAUUGAUUACGUCCCUGCCCUUUGUACACACCGCCCGUCGCACCUACCGAUUGAAUGGUCCGGUGAAAUCUCGGGACGGCGGCUUGGUCGCUUGCGUCCGACUGCUGAAACUUGAUUAGACCAUAUCAUUUAGAGGAAGGUGAAGUCGUAACA